rnacentral:tRNA from 1 species
GCUUCCGUAGCUCAGUAGGAUAGAGCGUCGGAUUCCGAUUCCGAAGGCCGCAGGUUCGAGCCCUGCCGGGAGCGCCA